rnacentral:tRNA from 1 species
CGGGACGUAGCGCAGCCUGGUAGCGCGCACGCUUGGGGUGCGUGGUGUCGCUGGUUCAAAUCCAGUCGUCCCGACCA